GCCUUCAUGGUGUAGUGGUCAGCACGCUCGACGCGUAACCGAGAGGUCCAUGGUUCGAUUCCCGGCGAAGGCG
rnacentral:tRNA from 1 species